rnacentral:rRNA from 1 species
AACCCUUUCAGCAAUGCCACUGAAAGUGGUGAUGGAGGAGACCUCCURAGUGCCUWUGCACUGCAUAGUCUUUUSCCRAGUGUAAAAGCUUGGAGAAUAAGUG